CCUAGGUGGACACCCCAGGCCGUCAUUCUCCAUGAGCUCUGCCCUAGUGGUGUAGGGGAGCUUAGGACACUGCCCGGUGAUGGAAAGUCUCUUUCCACAGUCUUGGAGAUGGAGCUCGACUUUGAGUCUGAGCCUGCAUAUUCCUAAGACUUCUCAGAGUCCCAUGGGUGAUGACUCCAGAGAUAAACCAUGCAGGAAACAAAG